AGAGUUUGAUCAUGGCUCAGAUUGAACGCUGGCGGCAUGCCUUACACAUGCAAGUCGAACGGCAGCAUGAUCUAGCUUGCUAGAUUGAUGGCGAGUGGCGAACGGGUGAGUAAUACAUCGGAACGUGCCCUGUAGUGGGGGAUAACUAGUCGAAAGAUUAGCUAAUACCGCAUACGACCUGAGGGUGAAAGUGGGGGACCGCAAGGCCUCAUGCUAUAGGAGCGGCCGAUGUCUGAUUAGCUAGUUGGUGAGGUAAAGGCUCACCAAGGCGACGAUCAGUAGCUGGUCUGAGAGGACGAUCAGCCACACUGGGACUGAGACACGGCCCAGACUCCUACGGGAGGCAGCAGUGGGGAAUUUUGGACAAUGGGCGAAAGCCUGAUCCAGCAAUGCCGCGUGUGUGAAGAAGGCCUUCGGGUUGUAAAGCACUUUUGUCCGGAAAGAAAUGGCUCUGGUUAAUACCUGGGGUCGAUGACGGUACCGGAAGAAUAAGGACCGGCUAACUACGUGCCAGCAGCCGCGGUAAUACGUAGGGUCCAAGCGUUAAUCGGAAUUACUGGGCGUAAAGCGUGCGCAGGCGGUUGUGCAAGACCGAUGUGAAAUCCCCGAGCUUAACUUGGGAAUUGCAUUGGUGACUGCACGGCUAGAGUGUGUCAGAGGGGGGUAGAAUUCCACGUGUAGCAGUGAAAUGCGUAGAGAUGUGGAGGAAUACCGAUGGCGAAGGCAGCCCCCUGGGAUAACACUGACGCUCAUGCACGAAAGCGUGGGGAGCAAACAG
rnacentral:rRNA from 1 species